AGGAUUUUCCAUGGAUUCUGGCAGACGAAAGGAAGACAACUUUGGAAGAUGUUAAAAUGAUUCCAUUAAAAGCUGUUAAUUCAGAUUACUUACAGGUAUAGAAAUAUAUGGAUAAGCUUUAGAUAAUUCAAAUGCAGAAUCCAGGGAAACUGACAUAUUUUUAGUGUUAGAACUUAUCAGGGUAUGACAUUAAGGGCUGUCAGAUAGCCUGGAACUUAUAAGUGAAAAACAUCAUCGUUCAUGUUAAAGCUCCAGAUUGGCAAGAAAAAAUCUUAUAUGUUAAAUAUGCUGAAAAAUACCAAAUCUAGUUUAUUACGUCUCUAUUAAUUAUAUCAAUCAGCCCCAACAAUUUGGAAACAGUUUUUUUUCUAGUGGAUUACAUUUCUAACUAUAUAAAUAUGUUAAAAAUAUUGACCAAUCGGAGUACGAUUCAGUUUUUGACCCGACAGUGGUCAAUAAUCUGAUCAUCUAGGAUCAGGGGGGUUUGUAUGAUGGUAUGAUGUCGUUGUUUGGGUCGUCGUCCAAAGACACAUUUGGUUUCCGGACAAUGAUUUUAGUUUGAGGGAAUGUAUCUCUAUGAAAUUUUACAACAAUGUUCAAUACCAGAAAAAAAGGUUGGAAUUGAUUUUGGGGGUUAUGGUACCAACAGUUUAGGAAUUAGGGCCAAAAAUCGUACCUUAUGCAAAAGUAGCUGUGUAUGGGGUAUUAUUCCACAAAAAAGGGGAUUUUCCAGUUUUUGGGCAUUAACUCAAAAAUGCUUGAGCAGUUUUCAUGAAUCAUUGGUGAAUGUGUCAAAGAGACAACAACCCAACCACAAACAGCGAGAAAAUUACCAACCUGGAGUCAUGCUUCUGCUGACCUCUGAACAAAAAUGUGUAGGGAUUAUAUCAGUUAAGAUUAUCUCUCUUCAAUUUUUAUUUUAUAAAUUUCUGAUAUGACAAUGAGGAGUUAUGGAACUUUAUUCUUUGAAAAAGCAAAAGGGGUAUCAUGUGCUCAUGGCACCUGCAGUUCUUUAUUGUUUUAUUUUAUUAGAUGUUUAUGAUUUUAUAUGGUUUACUUUGCAAGUACAAAUUAGAUAUAAUGAAAAAACUUUAAAAUAAACAUUUAUUUUUAAGAUCUUUCAAUUUUUAUUUUCAGAUGCAGUUAUACGCAGAAGAAAGUUCAAUAAAAUAAUGCAGAAGUCAUACAGAAGGGUGUCAAAAGUACAACCCAAUUAUGUGAAAACCAGAUACAUACUGUAUAGCUACAAUACUGGGUAGAAAAACUGUUUUUUCUGGUUUUGAUGAUAAAUGGGCAAAAUUGCAGUGAUACACAGUUUUCUUCUAGCAUUCAUAUGUAUUCCAACUACUAGAACGCUCUGGAACUUGCAUAAGGCAAAUAUGGUUCCACUAUACAUUAUUAUGUAGAUCAUGGAAAUGUAAGAAACAUUUUAUUAUGAAAAAAAAUUGUCUGUAAGAUAGAGGUUGACAAAUUCAUAAUUAAAGCCUUCAUUAUCAAUGAAAAUUGUCUUUUUUAUCCCAGCCAGAAGGUGUGGUUACAAGUACAAUGUAUUACAUGCAUAUUCAGGAUGAUGACACGUUGAUAAAAUAGGAAUAUGAAGUGACUGAUAAUAAUUUAUUACCAACAUUACAUUUUAAAAAAGAUGUUUUACAAUGAUUCUAUCAUUGAGAACAAGGAAACAUUUCAAAGGGAGAUAACUUAGAAAAUAUUGAUUUGUCAAGGAGUGCAAAAAGUAAAACAACAAAAAUACCAACUCCAAGAAAUAUUCAAAAUGAUGGUUCUUAUAAAUAAAAUAGCAAAAUCAAAAGCUCAAACACAUUAAACAAACGGAUAACUUCUGUCAUAUUUCUGACUUGAUACAGGCA
rnacentral:lncRNA from 1 species